GGAGAGAUGUCUGAGUGGUUUAAGGUACCGGUCUUGAAAACCGGAGAGGCGCAAGCUUCCGGGGGUUCGAAUCCCUCUCUCUCCGCCA
rnacentral:tRNA from 2 species